rnacentral:rRNA from 1 species
GUCUACAGCCAUGCCACCCCAAACAAGCCCGAUCCCAUCUGAUCUCGGAAGCUAAGCAGGGUCGGGCCUGGUUAGUACUUGGAUGGGAGACCACCUAGGAAGACCAGGUGCUGUCGGCA